GUCUACGGCCAUAACACCCUGAACAAGCCCAAUCUCAUCUGAUCUCGGAAGCUAAGCAGGGUCAGGGCUGGUUAGUACUAGAAUAGGAUGUGUAGACC
ensembl:rRNA 5S_rRNA 5S ribosomal RNA